rnacentral:rRNA from 1 species
CCUACGGGUGGCAGCAGUGAGGAAUAUUGGUCCAUGGGCGUAAGCCUGAACCAGCCAAGUCGCGUGAGGGAUGAAGGUUCUAUGGAUCGUCAACCUCUUUUAGAAGGGAAUAAAGUGUGGGACGUGUCCUAUUUUGUAUGUACCUUAUGAAUAAGGAUCGGAUAAUUCCGGUCCAGCAGCCGCGGUAGUACGGAGGGUCCGAGCGUUAUCCGGAAUUAUUGGGUUUAAAGGGGGCGUAGGAGGCAUUUUAAGUCAGCGGGGAAAGUCUGUGGCUCAACCAAAGAAUUGCAGUUGAUACUGGGGGGCUAGAGUAUGUUUGAGGCAGACGGAAUGCGUGGUGUAGCGGUGAAAUGCUUAGAUAUCACGCAGAACCCCGAUGGCGAAGGCGGCCUGCCAGGCCAUGACUGACGCUGAUGAACGAAAGCGUGGGGAUCAAACAGGAUUAGAUACCCCAGUAGUC